rnacentral:lncRNA from 1 species
GAUCAUGGUGCGAACACAACUAACUAAUCAAUAGAGGAAAACCAACCAAGCAAGCAUCCAAGGGCUCUUAUUGGAUUCACCAAAAUGAGAUCUUUUAUGGAAGAUUUGAUGAAGAAUUGAAGAAGAAAUCUGAUUGAGCAAAGAAGGAAAAUCAUUAGUGAAGCAACAUGAAAAGUAAUUAAGAGAGGAACCAAUGUGGG